CCUACGGGAGGCUGCAGUGGGGAAUUUUGGACAAUGGACGCAAGUCUGAUCCAGCCAUGCCGCGUGAGUGAAGAAGGCCUUCGGGUUGUAAAGCUCUUUUGUCAGGGAGCAAAUCCUGCCUGCUAAUACUAGGUGGGGAUGAGAGUACCUGAAGAAUAAGCACCGGCUAACUACGUGCCAGCAGCCGCGGUAAUACGUAGGGUGCAAGCGUUAAUCGGAAUUACUGGGCGUAAAGCGUGCGCAGGUGGUUACGCAAGUCUGAUGUGAAAUCCCCG
rnacentral:rRNA from 1 species